rnacentral:rRNA from 1 species
UUCCGGUUGAUCCUGCCGGACCCGACUGCUAUUUGGGUGAGGAUAAGCCAUGCGAGUUGAAUGGGAUACCUAAAGUUCCCAUGGCAAACUGCUCAGUAACACAUGAUCAACUUACCCUAUAGAGAAAAAUAACCUCGGGAAACUGAGGAUAAUGUUUCAUAGUUGAAUUGGCUUGGAAAAGUUUUUCGACGAAAGGGGUAAAAAAAAUGGUUUUUAUCUGCUAUAGGAUAGGAUCGUGUUCGAUUAUGGUUGUUGGUGAGGUAAUGGCUCACCAAGCCGAUAAUCGAUAGGGGCCGUGAGAGCGGGAGCCCCGAGAUGGGUACUGAGACAACGACCCAGGCCUUACGAGGCGCAGCAGGCGCGAAACCUCCGCAAUACACGAAAGUGUGACGGGGUUACCCAAAGUGUUCAAUUUUGAACUGUGGUAGGUGAGUAAUGUUCCCUACUAGAAAGGAGAGGGCAAGGCUGGUGCCAGCCGCCGCGGUAAAACCAGCUCUUCAAGUGGUCGGGAUAAUUAUUGGGCUUAAAGUGUCCGUAGCCGGUUUAGUAAGUUCCUGGUAAAAUCGGGUAGCUUAACUAUCUAUAUGCUAGGAAUACUACUAUACUAGAGGGCGGGAGAGGUCUGAGGUACUACAGGGGUAGGGGUGAAAUCUUAUAAUCCUUGUUGGACCACCAGUGGCGAAGGCGUCAGACUGGAACGCGCCUGACGGUGAGGGACGAAAGCCAGGGGAGCGAACCGGAUUAGAUACCCGGGUAGUCCUGGCCGUAAACGAUGCAUACUAGGUGAUGGCACGGCCAUGAGCCGUGUCAGUGCCGUAGGGAAACCGUUAAGUGUGCCGCCUGGGAAGUACGGUCGCAAGGCUAAAACUUAAAGGAAUUGGCGGGGGAGCACCACAAGGGGUGAAGCCUGCGGUUCAAUUGGAUUCAACGCCGGA